AACAAGAUAAAUUAUGAUCCCAAAAAAAAAAAAAGAAUAUAUUAUGCACAAGUUUUCUAAACUAAAAAGUGUUCUAAUAUUUCUCAUCUAAAAACUGCAAAUGUAUAAAUUUAGCUCCCAUCUUAUUCCAAUUAAAUCAUCAAUGAAAUUUGUCAUCCAUAGCAAACCUGCAUAUACAAAAUAUAGAUUAAUCAAUAAUAAGAAAACAAGUUGUGAAAUUUGUAUUGAGAGUAACAAGUUCAUAUUAAAAGUAAAAGUUGGACACAACCUGCUGCUUACUGCUACCACUUCUGAUCAUAAUCAACUACUUUUAUCUACUUUUAUAGAGAAUUCCACUAGUAGUUGUUGACACACUUGUAGUAGUUGUGCAUAAGAUUCUAAACAUAGGGCUGAAUAUAGUUAAUAAACAACACAUUUAGUUAUAAAAAUUGAAAAAGAUUACCUCUAAUCCCUGUCCAUGACACGAGAACCGUGCGAUGGUAUAAUCCUCAAAAUUUCUUAUUACCUCUUGGUUAUUUUUCUGCCAGAAUUAAUAUCAAGAUCUCAGUAUUAACAUUUUUUAAAUCUCAAACAUAAAUUAGUACAUAGAAGCUUCUAGACUAUUAACUAACCGAAAACUUUAUAUGACAGCUCAACAUCAUACAAAACUCACUCAAUCGCUAUUAAUCUACUGCACACAGUACAAGUUUUAAUAAUACGAUUUACGCUCAAUGAAAGCAAAAUUAAACUAAUAUAAACAAACCUGAUAAUACUUAAAGUCGAACACAAAAGAGUAAUGUUGCAUAAUGCCUUCUAGCCUCAAAACUGAACAAAAUCUUAGUGCCUUCAAAGCUUGCUCAUUAAAAAGCACAUUCAUUCAAUACAUUAAAAGAAUCAUAAGUUGGGGUAUUUGUACCUUUAUAAUGACAACAAAAAAUAGUAGAGGCAUGAGAGGAACUGAUGACCUCCAUCAAGAUACAGAGAAUUCACAUAAACCUGUUAAUACAUAAAUAUCAGUAUGAUCUCCAAACAAAUUUUUUAUUCAAAGAAAAGAUGUAGCCCUAUUCUGGUAUUGCCAAACGAUCAUAAACGACAUAUUUAUUCAAACUUAAAUUAUAAAAGCUUAC
rnacentral:lncRNA from 1 species